AUAGACACUCAAAACACUUCAAAGGGAUAACCAACAGGGCUUUGAUUUCUCUUCUUCCUUACUGGUUCUCCCUCCAAGGUCUUCAUAUGUGUUUUGCAGCUAAUGUUUUAUUGUUUGAGAAUUGAAUUAAUAUAGUAAAGUGUUUAGAAUAGUGCUUGGCACAUACUAACACCAAUGUUAGCUACUGUUGUCACAUUAAGCAUUUUAGUAUGAAAAUUAUAUCUGCUGCUACUCCUGACCCCCUUUCCUUACUCUCCCUUUUUCUGUUCCACAGCAUUUAUUCCUUUCUCAUAGUCUCUAUAAUUACUUAUAAUAACUAUCGUUUGCUGUCUGUCUUCCCCAGCUGCGAUGUAAACUCUGAAAGGGUACUGACUGUCCUUUUCCAAGGAGAUAAUCACCGAAGAUGGCUCCUUAGCAGCUGGAGGAACAAGAGCCAGAAGAUGGUCCUUCAGGGCGAGGGGAAAAAGGGAAGAAAAGCCCUGCUUAGAGCGUCUCAAGACUCUGUCCUCACUCCCUUUGUGCUGGCUGUGGUCACUGGCCAACAAGAAGCCAUUGUGGGGCAUCUUAAAAAGGACAGAAGGGUAGGUGGUACUGAGACUGAGUUUUGGACAAAAGAAUGUGGGCAGGAGUGAUGUAUGCCACUUCCAGGCCUGGCCCAUGAAAAUCUCCCUCACAGAGGCAUUUUUCUUUCUUCUUCUAUCUGCUGACCUGGUGUUGAGGCUCCAGCAGAGAUCUCUAAGAGCCAAGGAUGUCUGAGGCACAUGAUGGAAGGAGACUUUGUCCCUGAAAGACUGUGGAGCCAAGCCCCAUCCCCUUAUUGUGAUAAGACAUUGUAUAAUGGAGUAAUGAACUUCUAUAAUGUUUAGCCACUA